AUUGAACGCUGGCGGCAGGCCUAACACAUGCAAGUCGAGCGGAUGAAGGGAGCUUGCUCCUGGAUUCAGCGGCGGACGGGUGAGUAAUGCCUAGGAAUCUGCCUGGUAGUGGGGGAUAACGUCCGGAAACGGGCGCUAAUACCGCAUACGUCCUGAGGGAGAAAGUGGGGGAUCUUCGGACCUCACGCUAUCAGAUGAGCCUAGGUCGGAUUAGCUAGUUGGUGGGGUAAAGGCCUACCAAGGCGACGAUCCGUAACUGGUCUGAGAGGAUGAUCAGUCACACUGGAACUGAGAUACGGUCCAGACUCCUACGGGAGGCAGCAGUGGGGAAUAUUGGACAAUGGGGGAAAGCCUUAUCCAGCCAUGCCGCGUGUGUGAAGAAGGUCUUCGGAUUGUAAAGCACUUUAAGUUGGGAGGAAGGGCAGUAAGUUAAUACCUUGCUGUUUUGACGUUACCAACAGAAUAAGCACCGGCUAACUUCGUG
rnacentral:rRNA from 1 species